GCCACAGUAGCUCAAUGGUAGAGCAUCCGCCUUGUAAGCGGAAGGUUAUCGGAUCAUUCCCGAUCUGUGGCU
rnacentral:tRNA from 1 species